rnacentral:misc_RNA from 1 species
CUCCGUGGUGUACGCCGUGACAGAGAGCCCAGUGACGUCAGCCGGAGACACUAACACAACAUUAGCAGCCGUUCAGCCAGCUGCAUCCAACGUCACAGCCAACGCUACGAGUUUGGAGACAGCAAAGGCCGACAACUCGUCUACGAAUGCAACAGACACGCCAAAAACGGAAGGUGUGAAUAAGACAACAACAAAUUAUACCGAAAAAGCGCCUGCUGUAACCCCAUCAGAUGUAUGGGUACCCGCACCCGAGAUAACAUGCACUCUCUCGAGCGAGCGGUGUUCCGUUAAAAGCCAGUGCUGUAGCAAUAGAUGCGUCAAGCUACAUUCGGGAGCAGAUUACCGUUGUCUCAAGAGUUCCGUCGACAAGCCAUGUAAACAUGACUACAACUGUGAGGGCAAGCUCCAAUGUAGCCCCCAUAGGAAAACUUGCUGUGUCGACUUAUGGCAGUCAUGCGUGAUAGCUUCGCAAUGUUGUAACACUGAGCACAGAUGUCUGUCAAUGCAAGGGUUUAUUUAUAAAAAAUGUCUAAAAUCUGAUGCCAUACGUGCUGCAUCUGCCUGGGGAUUGAUGACUCUUCCAUCCAUACUGGCGAUAACGCAGCUGAUGUUGCUAUUAUGAAGUCACUACAACGAUUACUAAUAAUACACUCCCUCCGAUUUGACAUUAUAUUUAUAUGUUUUGAAGAGAUUAGACGUCCUUCAAAGAAAGUGCCUUAUUGUUACUAAUUUGUUUACGUUUUGAUUGUACGUUUUUCCACCGGUAGAAAUGGCCUUAAAAAGGUCGAUAAAGAUCCAAUGGUUAUGGGUUCACGUCUCUAUACAAAAUCCAAAUACACUUAACUACAGAGGUAUUUUGUUUUCAACAGCUUGUGACUCUCAAAUCCAAAUAACCAGAUAAAACAUUUCUUAUUUCGUAGUACAGACUCACGUCAUACCCCACGCUGUGUAAAUACUCUGGAUAUAUGCAUGGUGGCAUUGCCACAUGAUUAUAUGGAACAUUAGACAUGUCAGUUCUGUCCUUUACUGAAAAGGUUUAAAAUCCAAAUAUAACAUAGUUUGCAUUUGACCGUUUUCUAAAAAGGCAUUGCGUCUUCGAUGCCAAAUAUGUAAAUAGUCUGUUCAUUAAGAAAGGUGUUGGAAAAUAUUUGCUUUUUAUUGUCUGCAAAAUGAAUUUUCUAUGCCCAUUGUGUGGAUAAUUGUUAAUGAAUUCAUGGGACAUGAAUUAAUUCAAUCCAUCUCAGCCAGAGCCGCUCUCUCUUCAUGAUCGGUAUAUUUCAGACUAGAGACUCUGUAGCUGUCCCACCAUGCUCUGCCUUAUGUAAUUAAACAUUUAAAUUUGCCUGUAAUGUAGGUCGCUGAGAACGUUACCAACAACGGGAUAAUUAACGUUCAAAGCUUAUUGCUUUCGAAGUGAAGAAAAUGUCCUCUACACAACACACAUGAUGCCUAUUUAUAUCAUGAUAUUCUUGAUUUUGCUUUAAUUUACUUUGAAUGAUAUCAUGAACCAACGGUUUAUGUGACAAUAUGCAACGGCACGUUGUCCGUUGAAACAGCAACGGAGUAACUGUUUGUGGAUAUCCCAGCUUCCGGGCAGUCAUAUUGGGUGAAUCCCGGCAGCCAUAUUGGAUGCGUUAUUUUACAAUUCAGGAAGUGUUCAAUAUGUGCAAAUUAGUGACCCCAUUUAUACACCAUUAUAUAAUUAUUGGGAAGAAAACACCGUAUCAUACAACGAUGCUUAUCACAUGACGUAGAGAACAAGGGAUUCGAGUGAUCUUGAACUCACGUAACUUCAUUGUUAGAAUAUUGUUUGGACUUAUCUGAUAUUGACGCAAUGUGUGGUAUAAAGGACUGCAAGUCUAUGGUUUUAUGUAUUCAUGGCUGUUGGGGGAAUAUGGAGAACACAAACCUUCGAAGCUUUGACGGUGAACUGAGACAGUUGAGAUCUAUAUGCCAUAUAGUGACUGAUUAACAACAAUCUGUGAUACUUCGCGGUAUAUUCCAACACACAUCUCAUCUUUGAAAUGAGUCCAACUGAGGUUGUUGCGUGUUCUACGGAAUAUUUGAACGAUAACCUGCUUAUGAUUACACAAUGAAAUGACGUUACGAAACAGAUAACUUGUUCAAAUCUCUACCUGAGACUAUAGCUAUACAGGUGAGCUUCAGCGACAAGUCCACUACCCUGUUGCAAAAUUGUGAUGUUUGCUGGGAGUGCGAGGAGGUACUUUAUUUUAUCUUUACUUAUUAAUACCAACAAGAAGUAAUGUAGAUGCAAAUAAAAACUUUUAAGAAA